rnacentral:lncRNA from 1 species
GCAACACUACCAAAUUGAGGCUAGCUGUUUGACCAAGUGAAUUAAGGUUGAACAUCUAGCUGUCCUUCUCGCGAUGACCAAAACAAAGAAACUAGAAAGAUUUGCAGUAUAUGCAAGAAUGUCGCAAGAUAUUUAGCCUUUUUCUCGCAAUGCAAGAAUGUUGCAUCGACCAAGUAGAGGUGGUUCAUUCACCUAUAUAACCCCCCAUCCCAUGGAGGGAGGGUGCUAAAUUAACCCCACUCCUUAUUCAAUCACACAAUUUUAGAGUUGAU